rnacentral:rRNA from 1 species
GGGCAUCCUAACCCCGGAAAGGGGAAGGAAAUCUCUUAAAGCCAAUCGUAGUUCGGAUUGAGGGCUGCAACUCGCCCUCAUGAAGCUGGAAUCCGUAGUAAUCGCGUUUCAACAGAACGCGGUGAAUACGUCCCUGCUCCUU